rnacentral:rRNA from 1 species
AUUGAACGCUAGCGGCAGGCCUAACACAUGCAAGUCGAGCGAGCGGCGGACGGGUGAGUAAUGUCUAUCAAACUGCCUGAUGGAGGUGGAUAACUCCUGGAAACGGUAGCUCAUCCCGCAUACCAUCAUAUGUGCCCAGAUGUGAUUAGCUAGUAGGUGGGGUAACGGCUCACCUAGGCGACGAUCCCUAUCUGGUCUGAGAGGAUGACCAGCCACACUGGAACUGAGACACGGUCCAGACUCCUACGGGAGGCAGCAGUGGGGAAUAUUGUACAAUGGGCGAAAGCCUGAUGCAGCCAUGCCGCGUGUGUGAAGAAGGCCUUCGGGUUGUAAAGCACUUUAAGCGGGGAGGCGUUACCCGCAGAAGAAGCACCGGCUAACUCCGUGCCAGCAGCCGCGGUAAUUC